AAAGGAUUAGUUAAUAUUACAUAACAUCAGAAUGUCAAACUGAAGUAAUCGAACAAAGAUAUCCUUUU
rnacentral:tRNA from 1 species